AGAGUAGAGGAUGGUAGAGUAGAGGAGAAGAUGGUAGAGUAGAGGAGAGGAUGGUAGAGUAGAGGAUGGUAGAGUAGAGGAGAGGAUGGUAGAGUAGAGGAUGGUAGAGGUGAGGAGAGGAUGGUAGAGUAGAGGAGAGGAUGGUAGAGUUCAGUAGAGGAUGGUAGAGUAGAGUAGAGGAUGGUAGAGUAGAGGAUGGUAGAGGAGAGGAGAGGAUGGUAGAGUAGAGGAUGGUAGAGUAGAGAAGAGGAUGGCAAAGGAGAGGAGAGGAUGGUAGAGUAGAGGAUGGUAGAGUAGAGAAGAGGAUGGCAAAGGAGAGGAGAGGAUGGUAGAGUAGAGGAGAGGAUGGUAGAGUAGAGGAGAGUAUGGUAGAGUAGAGUAGAGGAUGGUAGAGUAGAGAAGAGGAUGGUAGAGUAGAGUACGGUAGAGUAGAGGAGAGGAUGGUAGAGUAGAGGAGAGGAUGGUAGAGGAGAGGAUGGUAGAGUAGAGUACGGUAGAGUAGAGGAGAGGAUGGUAGAGUAGAGGAGAGGAUGGUUGAGUAGAGGAUGGUUGAGUAGAGGAUGGUUGAGUAGAGGAUGGUAGAGGAGAGUAGAGGAUGGUAGAGUAGAGUAGAGGAUGGUAGAGUAGAGGAGAAGAUGGUAGAGUAGAGGAGAGGAUGGUAGAGUAGAGUAGAGAAGGGCAGUAUCCUAAAGAACUCAAGAGAAGAGGACAGAGCUGUGCUUUUUAAAGUGAAGUAUUGAAAUAGAAAACUAUAUAAUCAUAUUGUUAUGAAAAUGCAUUAUGUGAAAUUAAUCAAACACUCUGCAUACGGUGGAAUAUCCUGUUGCUUUUUAAGCUACUAGAUGUGUAACAUCAUAAUAGGUCAUCUUUCCUCAGGAGAAACCAAAACGUUCCUGAAAGUAAUGAGAGGUAGAUUUGAGAUGACUACAGGUAAAAGAAACCAAAACGUUCCUGAAAGUAAUGAGAGGUAGAUUUGAGAUGACUACAGGUAAAAGAAACCAAAACGUUCCUGAAAGUAAUGAGAGG
ensembl:lncRNA